rnacentral:pre_miRNA from 1 species
AAUAGAUGAUACCGUUGACUUUUUCUCACGUGUUUGACCAUUCAUCUUAUUUAAAAAAUUUACGUAAUUAUAAUUUAUUUUAUUAUAAGUUGUUUUAUCACUCAUAGUACUUUAAGUGUGAUUUAUAUCUUAUAUAUUUACAUAGAAUUUUUGAAUAAGACGAAUGGUCAAACAUGUGAGAAAAAGUCAACGGUGUCAUCUAUU